UAGGGGUUUCGGGGGGAUUCGGACCCCUUUCCGGGGUUCGUAAGCUAACGCCGUUUAAGUGUUUCCCCUGGGGAGUUACGCACGCAAGUGUGAACUUCAAAGGAAUUGGACGGGGGCCGCACCAAGCGGUUGGAGUAUGUGGUUUUAAUUCGAUGCAACGCGAAGAACCUUUACCAGGGUUUUGACAUCCUGCGGAACCUUCUUUAGAAAUUGAGGGUGCCUUCGGGAAUGCAGUGACAGGUGGUGCAUGGCUGUCGUCAGCUCGUGUCGUGAGAUGUUGGGUUAAGUCCCGCAACGAGCGCAACCCACGUUUUUAGUUGCCAGCAUUUAGUUGGGCACUCUAGAAAGACCGCCGGUGAUAAACCGGAGGAAGGUGUGGAUGACGUCAAGUCAUCAUGCCCCUUACACCCUGGGCUACACACGUACUACAAUGCUACGGACAAAGGGCAGCAAACUCGCGAGAGCUAGCAAAUCCCAUAAACCGUGGCUCAGUUCAGAUCGUAGGCUGCAACUCGCCUACGUGAAGUAGGAAUCUCUAGUAAUCGCAGGUCAGCAUACUGCGGUGAAUACGUUCCCGGGCCUUGUACACACCGCCCGUCACACCAUGGAAGUUGGCCAUGCCCGAAGUCGUUACUCCAACCCUUGUGGAGGAGGACGCCGAAGGUGGGGCUAAUGACUGGGGUGAAGUCGUAACAAGGUAA
rnacentral:rRNA from 1 species